GUCCAUGUAGCGCAAUGGAUAGCGCGUUAGACUUCUAAUCUAAAGGUCGUGAGUUUGAAUUCCACCUGGGAUA
rnacentral:tRNA from 1 species